UGGAUGGCCCUCUCUGCUGGGGUGACGGAGCAGCGCUAGCUGCAGCCGCCGCGGGGGCAGAUGGCGUAACUGACGACUCACUGUUUUUGGGUCGGACAGCCGCCGGAAGCCGUUGUGUCACUGCCCCCUGACGCGUCACAUCGGCAAAGGUGUUCUGCGGCAGGUAUGAAACCCGCCUGCGUGCCUCCUUGAAACAUUUGUUUUCUUUUGCUUUAGUUGUAACAAUUUGCUUUUCUUUUUUCCAGGAUGGGCACAACCACGAGUACGCGGCAUGCUCCCCAUCACAGUCUACACAGCGGAGCGUGUUCUCGCAGGAUUCAGAGGCGUGUUCAUGGGCACUGCAUUUCGCACAAGUUUGGCGGCCGCGGCAUCUCUGCGAACUGUGGCCGAAAUGCUGGCAUUAGAAACAUCGGAGGGGAUUGGGCACGUAUGGCCGAACACGAAGUUUGAUAUAACCCGCCUCGAUGGACUCCGGAAGGACACAUGAGCCGAAGCUGCCGUUUGAGGUCUGUCAUAGUAAAAGCGGUGCGGCCCUCCCGCUUCCUUGCAACACCAUCCAGAUGGCGCUCGCCUCCGCGCAUCCGCGGCCGCGGCGGUGCCUGCCGUGGGGAAACAAAAGGAACCAGAAAGCUCGCCUUCAUGGAAGACGUUUGCCGCCAGCAUUUCUAGGAAAACAUUACGGUGACAAUGAAGUUGGAGCGAGAUUUUUGCAUAUAAAAGGCUCGUGAAUCUUCCAAGGGUCCACAAGCCUGCUGCAUUCCGCAUCCAGAGCCAUGGCCCGCCUUUUGCUAGUCUGCGCACUUGCCGCGUCCCUCUCCUGCAUGGCCUACGGACGCUCCAGCUCCUCUAUUGGCUCUUCCAGUUCAAGCCUUGGCGCACGAGGUGGUAGAGGGCGGCUUGGUCAGCAGCAGAUGCAGCAGCAGUGGGGACAGCAUAUGUGGGGACUGCCUUGGGGACAACAGAUGUGGGGGCAGUGGCCAUGGGGACAGCAGUCCUGGGGACAAGAGUCCUGGGGACAGCAGCCGUGGGGACAGGAGUGGUGGGGACCGCAGGCAUGGGUACCAGUGUCAUGGGGACAACAGCAGUGGUCAUGGAUGGGGCCCCGACCACACCAGCAGCAACGGCAGCAAGAACAACAACCGCACUAAUAUUGUCACUAGCAGUUGAUUCUCUACUAAACACGGCGGCAAUCAAUAGCUCAUUUAUCUAAGAGAACCCGGCAAUAAUAUAAUAAAGCAAGGUUCAUCACUCUGCAGGUGAAAUAGGCAACCUGUCUUCUUGCGUGCGUCUGUGCGUCUUCGUAGAGGCCGUAAGAGGAAAGCCCAGGAGCUGCUAAUAGCUAUGCUGCUGUAGUGCGUCAGCAUCAAAUAAACUACAAGAAACAAUAGCGUGACAAGAUAUUAAAAUAUUUGCGGCUUUGCGUCUGUAUGGCAACAUCAAACAACUGUGGACAUGUGUGCUUCAAUAAAAGAAUGGGUAC